GGAAACUGCAGGAAGAACAUAAAAAGCUGGUAAAUGAAACCCAGUCAGCGUUCGUCAGCCUAAUAUCAUAGAUUCUGGUAUUUGGCCAAAAGAGAGCUUCACAAUUCUUGGCUUCACCUGUGGUAGAAAAAUGACUGAAGUUAUGCAACACUCUCUAAAAUUAAAGCUAUGCAACGCUUUAACAUGAAUGGCGAAGGAGUG